rfam:Flavobacterium sp. CF136 PMI10_contig100.100, whole genome shotgun sequence.
ACAGUGAAAACCGAAAAACUGAAAAAAGAGUAGGUA